UACGUAGGGUGCAAGCGUUAAUCGGAAUACUGGGCGUAAGGCGUGCGCAGGCGGUGAUGUAAGACAGGUGUGAAAUCCCCGGGCUUAACCUGGGAACUGCAUUUGUGACUGCAUCGCUGGAGUGCGGCAGAGGGGGAUGGAAUUCCGCGUGUAGCAGUGAAAUGCGUAGAUAUGCGGAGGAACACCGAUGGCGAGGGCAAUCCCCUGGGCCUGCACUGACGCUCAUGCACGAAAGCGUGGGGAGCAAACAGG
rnacentral:rRNA from 1 species